GGCGCCAUAGCCAAGUGGUAAGGCAGAGGUCUGCAAAACCUCUAUUCUCCGGUCCGAAUCCGGAUGGCGCCUCCA
rnacentral:tRNA from 1 species